GACAGAGGGUGCAAACGUUGUUCGGAAUUACUGGGCGUAAAGCGCGUGUAGGCGGCCAUCUAAGUCGGGCGUGAAAUCCCACGGCUCAACCGUGGAAGUGCACUCGAAACUGGAUGGCUAGAGUCCUGGAGAGGAAGGUGGAAUGCUUGGUGUAGAGGUGAAAUUCGUAGAUAUCAAGCGGAACACCGGUGGCGAAGGCGGCCUUCUGGACAGUGACUGACGCUGAGGCGCGACAGCGUGGGGAGCAAACAGG
rnacentral:rRNA from 1 species